rnacentral:lncRNA from 13 species
UGCUGGCCUCGGUUUCCUCAUUUUUAACUCGGCAAUAAACCUCGCAAAAGAAUCAACCUUACAAAUACCAUAAACAUGGGUGUACAAAAUCUCUUCAAGAUCCUGUAUUCAAUCCUUUCAGGACCUCCAGUGCAACACUGAAUAAAAGUGGUGAAAAUAGACGCAUUGUCUUAUUCCAAAUAAUGGAGAGAAAAUAUUCAACAUUUGAACACUGAGAGCACAA